rnacentral:tRNA from 1 species
UGUGGCUCAGCGGAAGAGCGCUCGCCUAGCAUGUGUGAGGCCCUGGGUUCGAUCCUCAGCA